rnacentral:rRNA from 1 species
CACGUAGGGCGCAAGCGUUGUCCGGAAUUAUUGGGCGUAAAGAGCUCGUAGGCGGUCUGUUGCGUCUGCUGUGAAAACUCGGGGCUUAACCCCGGAGCCUGCAGUGGAUACGGGCAGACUAGAGGUAGGUAGGGGAGAAUGGAAUUCCCGGUGUAGCGGUGAAAUGCGCAGAUAUCGGGAGGAACACCGGUGGCGAAGGCGGUUCGCUGGGCCUUAC